rnacentral:rRNA from 1 species
AGAGUUUGAUUAUGGCUCAGGACGAACGCUGGCGGCAUGCCUAACACAUGCAAGUCGAACGGAGCACCCUUGACUAAGUUUUCGGACGAGGGAGAGGAAUGCUUAGUGGCGGACGGGUGAGUAACGCGUGAGCAAUCUGCCUUUCAGAGGGGGACAACAGCUGGAAACGGCUGCUAAUACCGCAUAAUAUAUACUGGCCGCAUGACCGGUAUAUCAAAGAUUUAUCGCUGAAAGAUGAGCUCGCGUCUGAUUAGCUAGUUGGUGAGGUAACGGCCCACCAAGGCGACGAUCAGUAGCCGGACUGAGAGGUUGAACGGCCACAUUGGGACUGAGAUACGGCCCAG